rnacentral:lncRNA from 1 species
AUGCAGUCAAGGUCCGGUUGUGCUGUUGAGGCAGCUGUGAGGAGUCACAGCACUGGCUGCCGCAGCUGGACGCACCAAGGACGGGCAGGGUGUGGGGCCUGGUGGUGGGCUCCCCGCUCACAACGCCGCUUCCAGUCCCGGUGCUGGGGAAUCGCCAGGGUCAACCGCAGACCGGGACCGCGGAUCCCAAGAGCAACAGGUUCUGCACCCCUGCAUCCCCAGGCCCGGCCCGGCAGCCAUGACGGACACGCCCAUGGAGGACUCCCUCUUCCAGAUCAUCCGCUGCUUCCACCAGUACGCGGCUCGGGAGGGGGACGUGGAGACCCUGUCCCUGGAUGAGCUGAAGGCCCUGCUCAUGGACAACGCGCCCCGCUUCAUGGAGGGCUUGGGCCGGAAGCAGCCAUGCUAUGUCACAGAGUUGUUCCGGGCCGCAGACAGGAACAAGGACAACCAGAUCUGCUUUGAUGAAUUCCUGUACGUCCUGGGCAAGCUGGCGAAGGACUACCACCUGCAGUACCACCGGCGGCUGUGCGCCCACCACUGCGCCCAGCACAGCCUCUACUAGGGGUGGCGGGCUGCCCGGAGCACGUGUGACCUGGGAACAGAGGACCCCGUGGCGUAUGUCUAUGUAUGUGUGUGCACAUGCGUGUAUGUGUGUGUGGAAAGCACGGCUGUGUAGGAGAGAAUAGUGCAAUUUCAUAAAUAUUUCUGAGUAUUGGUCAGCUCAGGGGUCUGGGCACCGCCUAAGGAUCCAGGUCUCCCCCACCCCAGGAAACACCAAUUUGGGGUGGGAGACCCAGCCUCUGCCUCCAGGGAGCCCCUGUCUGACGGAGGAGGCAUUGCCCUUGAUUGCGGGGAAUCCAUGCUGGGCUGACGGGAGCCACAGGCCCUGCCUUCAGCUUUCAGUCUGUGAGGGAGGACUCUCGUCACCAGAGGCGGCCCUUAGAGAAGCUCCCUCGCCCAUCCCACACACACGACGGGCUGGGGGCCCCGAGGAGAUGGGUCUGGGCCCCUCUUCCGAAGGCGUCCCUGCUCUGAAGGAGAGCGCCAACAAGCCAGGGCCCCAAGGUGGACCCCCCUGGGUCUGGCAGGGGCCAGGAGAGGGAGGGCACAGCGGGAUCCAGGGG